GACGAACGCUGGCGGCGUGCUUAACACAUGCAAGUCGAACGGAAAGGCCCUGCUUUUGUGGGGUGCUCGAGUGGCGAACGGGUGAGUAACACGUGAGUAACCUGCCCCUGACUUUGGGAUAACUUCAGGAAACUGGGGCUAAUACCGGAUAGGAGCUCCUGCUGCAUGGUGGGGGUUGGAAAGUUUCGGCGGUUGGGGAUGGACUCGCGGCUUAUCAGCUUGUUGGUGGGGUAGUGGCUUACCAAGGCUUUGACGGGUAGCCGGCCUGAGAGGGUGACCGGCCACAUUGGGACUGAGAUACGGCCCAGACGCCUACGGGAGGCAGCAGUGGGGAAUAUUGCACAAUGGGCGGAAGCCUGAUGCAGCAACGCCGCGUGCGGGAUGACGGCCUUCGGGUUGUAAACCGCUUUCGCCUGUGACGAAGCGUGAGUGACGAUAAUGGGUAAAGAAGCACCGGCUAACUACGUG
rnacentral:rRNA from 1 species